rnacentral:misc_RNA from 1 species
UCUUUGACUUGCUUUGCAUGGCAGGCUCCCUGCACAUUAUGUGCGGCCAACUGUCAUGGGCUGUCUUUUCAGCGUCCCUUCGAUUAGCUUUUUGGCUCCCUAAGGGUGCUUUGUAUGGUUGCCUGUAUGCUAUUACCAUUGUUGGUAGAAUGAUUGUCACGUUGUUGCCUAUUUAGCUUGCUCUGUGGAUGUUGUGCAUCGACGGGUGGCCGAGUUGUUGACAGAUUCCAUGUGUUGCCAUGUGCUUGUGCCUUGGGAAUGCAAUUUGGAUUUUGUGGGGUCUCACGGAUAUUGUCCCUAGAAUAAGAGGACUACAGGCUUCAAGCUUGUAGACCAUUGAGGUUGCCCGAGCAUUCAUCAUCGUUCCUGAUGUUUUGUUGACAUGUGUUUUGUCUAUCAUGUUGGCAGAUAUACAGGGCAUGAUUCUGCGUGUGUGGCAUGCCUUUUUGACCCAUUGACAUGCGAUUGCUAGUUUCCAUUGUCAUGAGG